rnacentral:sRNA from 1 species
UAUCAGCAGAUCCAACUCGUGAUAGGCC